rnacentral:rRNA from 1 species
GAUACCCCGGUAGUCCUAGCUGUAAACGAUGUAGAUUUGGCGUUGGCGGAGUUAAAUCUGCCAGUGCGGUAGCUAACGCGAUAAGUCUACCGCCUGGGGACUACGAUCGCAAGAUUAAAACUCAAAGGAAUUGACGGGAGCCCGCACAAGCAGCGGAGCGUGUGGUUUAAUUCGAUGCUACACGAAGAACCUUACCAGGGUUUGACAUGUAAGUGGUAGUGAUCCGAAAGGUGAACGACCCCUCGGGGAGCUUACACAGGUGCUGCAUGGCUGUCGUCAGCUCGUGUCGUGAGAUGUUCGGUUAAGUCCGCUAACGAGCGCAACCCUCACUGUGUGUUACAAGUGUCACACGGGACUGCCGGUUUUAAGCCGGAGGAAGGCGGGGAUGACGUCAAGUCAGCAUGGCCUUUAUAUCCUGGGCUACACACACGCUACAAUGGUCGGUACAAUAGGUUGCCAAGCCGCGAGGCGGAGCCAAUCCCUAAAGCCGGCCUCAGUUCAGAUUGCAGGCUGCAACUCGCCUGCAUGAAGCUGGAGUUGCUAGUAACCGCAGGUCAGCUAUACUGCGGUGAAUACGUUCCCGGGUCUUGUACACACCGCCCGCCACGUCAUGGAAGCUGGCAACACCUGAAGCCUGUAUCCUAACCGCAAGGAAGGAGCAGUCGAGGGUGCGUUGGCUAACCGGGACGGAAGUCGUAACAAGGUAACCGU